rnacentral:rRNA from 1 species
UACGAAGGGGGCUAGCGUUGCUCGGAAUCACUGGGCGUAAAGCGCACGUAGGCGGAUUGUUAAGUCAGGGGUGAAAUCCUGGAGCUCAACUCCAGAACUGCCUUUGAUACUGGCGAUCUUGAGUCCGGGAGAGGUGAGUGGAACUGCGAGUGUAGAGGUGAAAUUCGUAGAUAUUCGCAAGAACACCAGUGGCGAAGGCGGCUCACUGGCCCGGUACUGACGCUGAGUGAGCGAAAGCCAGGGGAGCAAACGGG